rnacentral:rRNA from 1 species
GGGGGGGGGGGGGGGGGGGGUGAGCGGGUGCGGGGCGGGGGGGGGGGGCGCUUUGGGGGGGUGGGCGGGUGGCGCACGGGUGAGUGACCCGGGAGUACCCUGCCCGUUCCUCUGUGAUAACUUCUGAAACCGGGGGCUAAUACCGGAUAGGAGCUCCUCCUGCUUGGUGGGGUUUGGAACGGUUCGGCGGUUGGGGCUGGAAUCGCGGCUUAGCAGCUUGUUGGUGGGGUAGGGGCUUCACAAGGAUAUGGCGGGUAGCUCGCCCGGGGGGGUUACCGGCCACAUUGGGACUGAGAUACGGCCCAGACUCCUACGGGAGGCAGCAGUGGGGAAUAUUGCAAAAUGGGUGGGAGCCUGAUGCAGCAACGCCGUGUGCGGGAUGACGGGCUUCGGGUUGGAAACCGCUUUCGCUCAUGACGAAGCUGUGUGUGACGGUAGUGGGUAAAGAAGCACCGGCUAACUACGUG